rnacentral:rRNA from 1 species
GACGAACGCUGGCGGCAAGCUUAACACAUGCAAGUCGAACGCCGUAGCAAUACGGAGUGGCAGACGGGUGAGUAACACGUGGGAACGUGCCUUUCGGUUCGGAACAACUGAGGGAAACUUCAGCUAAAACCGGAUACGCCCUUCGGGGGAAAGUUUACGCCGAAAGAUCGGCCCGCGUCAGAUUAGGUCGUUGGCGGGGUAAUGACCCACCAAGCCGAUGAUCUGUAGCUGUUCUGAGAGGAAGAUCAGCCACACUGGGACUGAGACACGGCCCAGACUCCUACGGGAGGCAGCAGUGGGGAAUAUUGGACAAUGGGCGCAAGCCUGAUCCAGCUAUGCCGCGUGGAUGAAGAAGGCCUUCGGGUUGCAAAGUCCUUUCGGCGGGGAAGAUAAUGACGGUACCCGCAGAAGAAGCCCCGGCUAAUUUCGUGCCAGCCGCCGCCGUAAAAC